ACGAACGCUGGCGGCGUGCCUAAUACAUGCAAGUAGAACGCUGAAGAGAGGAGCUUGCUCUUCUUGGAUGAGUUGCGAACGGGUGAGUAACGCGUAGGUAACCUGCCUUGUAGCGGGGGAUAACUAUUGGAAACGAUAGCUAAUACCGCAUAACAAUGGAUGACACAUGUCAUUUAUUUGAAAGGGGCAAUUGUUCCACUACAAGAUGGACCUGCGUUGUAUUAGCUAGUAGGUGAGGUAAUGGCUCACCUAGGCGACGAUACAUAGCCGACCUGAGAGGGUGAUCGGCCACACUGGGACUGAGACACGGCCCAGACUCCUACGGGAGGCAGCAGUAGGGAAUCUUCGGCAAUGGGGGCAACCCUGACCGAGCAACGCCGCGUGAGUGAAGAAGGUUUUCGGAUCGUAAAGCUCUGUUGUAAGUCAAGAACGGGUGUGAGAGUGGAAAGUUCACACUGUGACGGUAGCUUACCAGAAAGGGACGGCUAACUACGUGCCAGCAGCCGCGGUAAUACGUAGGUCCCGAGCGUUGUCCGGAUUUAUUGGGCGUAAAGCGAGCGCAGGCGGUUUGAUAAGUCUGAAGUUAAAGGCUGUGGCUCAACCAUAGUUCGCUUUGGAAACUGUCAAACUUGAGUGCAGAAGGGGAGAGUGGAAUUCCAUGUGUAGCGGUGAAAUGCGUAGAUAUAUGGAGGAACACCGGUGGCGAAAGCGGCUCUCUGGUCUGUAACUGACGCUGAGGCUCGAAAGCGUGGGGAGCGAACAGGAUUAGAUACCCUGGUAGUCCACGCCGUAAACGAUGAGUGCUAGGUGUUGGAUCCUUUCCGGGAUUCAGUGCCGCAGCUAACGCAUUAAGCACUCCGCCUGGGGAGUACGACCGCAAGGUUGAAACUCAAAGGAAUUGACGGGGGCCCGCACAAGCGGUGGAGCAUGUGGUUUAAUUCGAAGCAACGCGAAGAACCUUACCAGGUCUUGACAUCCCGAUGCUAUUUCUAGAGAUAGAAAGUUACUUCGGUACAUCGGUGACAGGUGGUGCAUGGUUGUCGUCAGCUCGUGUCGUGAGAUGUUGGGUUAAGUCCCGCAACGAGCGCAACCCCUAUUGUUAGUUGCCAUCAUUUAGUUGGGCACUCUAGCGAGACUGCCGGUAAUAAACCGGAGGAAGGUGGGGAUGACGUCAAAUCAUCAUGCCCCUUAUGACCUGGGCUACACACGUGCUACAAUGGUUGGUACAACGAGUUGCGAGUCGGUGACGGCGAGCUAAUCUCUUAAAGCCAAUCUCAGUUCGGAUUGUAGGCUGCAACUCGCCUACAUGAAGUCGGAAUCGCUAGUAAUCGCGGAUCAGCACGCCGCGGUGAAUACGUUCCCGGGCCUUGUACACACCGCCCGUCACACCACGAGAGUUUGUAACACCCGAAGUCGGUGAGGUAACCUUUUGGAGCCAGCCGCCUAAGGUGGGACAGAUGAUUGGGGUG
rnacentral:rRNA from 1 species